rnacentral:lncRNA from 1 species
AGAUUUACAAUUACAAUAGUUCAUUAAUUACUAAAUUUAUCCCUUAAUCAAGACAAUGAAGAAAGCUUUGCUCAAGCUAAUUUUCCUGGUAGUAGUCCUGAUUGCUACUGCUUCAUGUAAGAAUCUAUAUCUUAUAUCUAUACAUAUAUAUUUCUUUUUUUCUGAAGACUUUUUGACUAAACAAUUGAAACCGCUUUUUUUCUUUAAAAACUGCUUUUCUGCUCCGAAAUUAAAUCGAUUAUGUCGCUAACAGCAUAAAUGUAAAUAUAAUGCACAUGUAGGUUUAGGAUAUGGAACCGAGGCAAAGGAGGAGAAAGAUCCGGGAUUGAGAUGUGUAACCUCAUACGAUUGUAAUCCGGUUUGUCAUUUUUGGGAAACCGGCACUUGCGUUGAUUAUUAUUGUAAUUGUCAGUGCGAUUGGCUUUUUUGUUGAGUCUCAAAACCUUAAAGUUGAGAAACUUUUCAAUAAGAUUUCGCUUUCCCGAAAGCUCUGAGGGAUUGCACGGAUGCUUCCAUGGAUCUAAUUUGCAUGGUGCAAUGUUAAUAUAAUAAGAUGUGGGAGAUAAAUUAGCCCCACCCUUGCUGAAUUAUA